rnacentral:snRNA from 1 species
GUGCUCGCUUCGGCACCACAUAUACUAAAACUGGAACGAUGCAGAGAAGAUUAGCAUGGCCCUGCGUAAGGAUGACAGAUUCGUUCAGCAUUCCAUAUUUAA